rnacentral:rRNA from 1 species
GACGAACGCUGGCGGCGUGCCUAAUACAUGCAAGUUGAGCGCUGAAGGUUGGUACUUGUACCAACUGGGUGAGCAGCGAACGGGUGAGUAACGCGUGGGGAAUCUGCCUUUGAGCGGGGGACAACAUUUGGAAACGAAUGCUAAUACCGCAUAAAAACUUUAAACACAAGUUUUAAGUUUGAAAGAUGCAAUUGCAUCACUCAAAGAUGAUCCCGCGUUGUAUUAGCUAGUUGGUGAGGUAAAGGCUCACCAAGGCGAUGAUACAUAGCCGACCUGAGAGGGUGAACGGCCACAUUGGGACUGAGACACGGCCCAAACUCCUACGGGAGGCAGCAGUAGGGAAUCUUCGGCAAUGGACGAAAGUCUGACCGAGCAACGCCGCGUGAGUGAAGAAGGUUUUCGGAUCGUAAAACUCUGUUGGUAGAGAAGAAAGUUGGUGAGAGUGGAAAGCUCAUCAAGUGACGGUAACUACCCAGAAAGGGACGGCUAACUACGUG